GUUUAAUUGUCAUGUAUGUUAAUGGGUAUUUUGCUGUGUUAUUUUAAAUUAUAUUUGAAUAAGUUUGUCUUAGUAUUGAUACAGAUGAAAAUGGCAGCGUAAUAAUCUAUUAAAUAACUGAUUUAUUAUUGAAUACUAGUCCAAGAGCAGUAUGAGUUGUAGUCUUAAGAAAGAAAAAAAAAAGAGGGAGUCUGUUUUUGUAAAUUUUAGCUGAUUUCCAAAAUUCUGUUGCAAUAAUGGACUUCCUGCCAAAAUUUGACUUUCCUGUCCAGUUGCCAGGUGCUCCGAUCUAAUCUUAAAGUAGUACUGCUUGCAUAGUUUGCAGACAUGCAUAAUGCACAAACAUGAAAACCUAUAUUAUCUCUGUCACAGAGUGUGACAUUUAUUAAUUUAUUUUGGAUUAAUAUGCUUUUUGUAUUGGCAUGUCUGCUGGA